AAGUACAUACUAGAUAAAUAAUGACCACAAGUCUCAACAACAUUAUUUCUUUCUUUUACUUCAUGCCAAAGCAAUUGAUCCUUCAAAAUUGCAGGAUCAAUUGCGUUUAUCCCAUAACAAUUUACAUCAAAUCUCUCUAGAGAUGUUUAUUUUAACAUGUAAGAGACCCGAAAAUAGAAUACAAGAAUCCUUGACCAGAUCAUUUUGCCGAGAUACUUCUGUCGUCAGCCCGUACGAAUAAUAUGAUAUCUGAACUCAAUGAGAGAACAACAAUAGCACCUGUUUGAAGUUCAGAUUGAUCUUUCUCUUGACUGGACACUUUUGUUCUACCUCAACAAUUCAUCCAUAGUACAUCAUCAAAUUCACCCCUCAACUUAUCUCCUACUAUAACGUUCCGUUCUAUGUCCAAAGCAGUCAUAGGCGUACCUGAUGGGUGCCAUGCCGGAGUUCCAUUCUCAUAUGCAUUACAUGUCAGUCGUCUCAACCCACUCCCAUCCAACUUCACCAAAUAUAAGUCACCGUAGGGUUGAUAUUGAUUUGGCAGUGACACUGGUUCUGCUGUUACUCCACCCAAGUUGCCCGUGAACAGAAGCCAUUCACAGUCCUUACUAAAGCAUACGUGGUUUAGCCUCUCUUUAUCUACUUCAUCAGAUCCCUCUGGCCCUGCCACGUGGAUCCUACGAAGACCUGUGCCGUUUGGAUGAAUCACAUAAAUGCUGAAGCAAGUGACAUUAUCCGGAUUGUGCCUGUUGGAAGAAAAUGCAAUCAGCUUUCCAUCAGGUGACCAGCUUGGCAUUGUAUCAAUCCAUGGCCCCUCUGUUAGCUGACGAAUUCCUCCACCCUCCAGCUCUCCCUUAACAGAAUCCAUAAUAUACAGAUUUUUGUGCCCUGCACGGCCUGAACGGAAUACAAUGUGCUUUCCGUCUGGCGAGCAGGAAGGGAAGGCAUUAUUUCCCGUCUCCUCUUUUGUGAGAACUUUUAUUUCUACUGGAAUUUCUCUGCAAUCAUCGUUAGUUAGAUUUAAUGAAUUGAAUGAAACUCGUGCUAUUUGGACAGUUGCUUUUACAGAGUCGAAUACAGGUCCGAUUGACGUAAAAAUCACAUUGGGUUCGGCUGGAGACCAGGAGUUGCAGAAAGCUGUACGGCCUCUGAACAAUGUCCACUUCUUGGAACCGUCUGAUUUGAUGAUUUUGAGGCCUGAAUUAGGAUUGAAAUCAUGAUUAAACGCAAUAAAGUCACCUGAGGGAGAGAAGGAAGGAAAUGAUCCAUUAAGCCUCAGCAUUCUCAGUCCUUUUUCUGGAGAAAUUAUCGGGGCCAAGGAAGGAAUUGUUGCAUCUCCCGAUGAUGAUUCACCUCGGAACCGGUGAUAACUGAGAAACGACGACUUAGGAGAGAAGAAUGGACUGUAAUGGUGAGUGGUAGGGUUAAGCAACUCGGUCACCGAAUAGAACUUGUGAGACUCCACAUCGAAAAUCUCAAUGUGGCGAUACUUCGUCCCCUGUCUUCUGGUAGCAAUAGCAAUCAUUGAUUUGGAGCUGUGUGAGGCCGCUGGAGUAAAGCAAUGCACACCAGGAGGAGUAACUCGAAUCGGAUCAGUACGCAGAUUGAGUGAAUCUUCAAGCAAAUCUACUCUAAAAAUGCUCCACCAACCAUCAUCAGCUUGUCGGUGAAAAUAGAUAGUCGAAUCACCAGACCAAGUUGGCCAGCCACCGUGUUGGCACACAACUAUCCGCUUUUCUGGGUCAGAUUCAGGGAAAACAACAAUAUCAGUAGUCAGAUCAUGGAAUUCACCAGUAGGCCAACGACGGUCUCCGUAAGAUGCAACCGCAAUCAGGUGUCCAGACUGCGAAAUCGCCGGACUAUAAUCAACGCAGCCGUACGGAGUCAAGCGGAUGAUGUUACUAUUAUCUUCUAUAUUGGUAGAGUAAAGAGCGGACGAGCUGGUGAAAACUUUUUUGGGUUGCUGAUGAGCUGAAAUAUAGUAGAGUUGUUUAUUUCGAAGAAAUGGACGGUCGAGAAAUAGGCUAUCAAUGGGAGUAGGAAGUUGUUCCAUCUGUACCUGAGAGGAGGGGUGUCUCAAGUAAAUGCGAGGAGCACCUGAUCUCUCCGAGACGAAUACAAGUGUUUGAUCUUCAUCGACAAACUGUCCGUUGUAAUUGAUGGAGGUACCGUCUGUGAGGCGAUGUUCUACCGGAGAAUUGAGAAAAGAAAAUGGAGAUUUGAUGGAGAAGAUGUCGAAGCCAUAAUUGGUUCUGCCGACGGUGGAGAAGAUAAUAGAGCCAUGUGGUGACGACUGUGAAUCCAUGAUACUAUGGUUGAUGUGCUUUGCAGGCUGGAAAUGGCAAAUGUUAUGAUAGAGAAAUCUGAGCUGCAGUAGGAAA
rnacentral:misc_RNA from 1 species